GACGAACGCUGGCGGCGUGCUUAACACAUGCGAGUCGAACGGUGAAGCGCCUUCCUUUUUGGUGGGUGUGGAUGAGUGGCGAACGGGUGAGUAACACGUGAGUAACCUGCCCCCUUCUUCUGGAUAACCGCAUGAAAGUGUGGCUAAUACGGGAUAUUCUGGGUCUGUCGCAUGAUGGGUCUGGGAAAGAUAUUGUUUCGGUGGGGGAUGGGCUCGCGGCCUAUCAGCUUGUUGGUGGGGUGAUGGCCUACCAAGGCGGUGACGGGUAGCCGGCCUGAGAGGAUGAACGGUCAGACUGGGACUGAGACACGGCGCAGACUCCUACGGGAGGCAGCAGUGGGGAAUAUUGCACAAUGGGAGCAAGCCUGAUGCAGCGACGCCGCGUGAGGGAUGGAGGCCUUCGGGUUGUGAACCUCUUUCGCCAGUGAAGCAGGCCUGCCUAGUUUGUGGGUGGGUUGACGGUAGCUGGAUAAGAAGCACCGGCUAACUACGUG
rnacentral:rRNA from 1 species